AAGAAAACAUGAAACGGGUUUUAUUAUGUAGGUAUUCAGGUCCGACAAUUCACUUUGUCGAUGAAGAGUACGACUCAGGGCGUAUACUUGCUCAAAGUGCAGUCCGCGUGAAUGCUAAUGAUACACCAGAGGAAUUGGCCAAAAGGGUUCUUCGUGAGGAACACAAACUCUAUGUUGAGGUAGUAGCUGCAAUCUGCGAAGAACGUAUAAAAUGGAGAGAAGAUGGUGUUCCUCUCAUUCAAAGCAAAGAAAACCCUGACGAGUAUUAUUAGAUCAUUGACAAAUGAAGUUCAACCACAUUGGAUCUCAGAUUAGUUCCAUUUUCAAAUCAAUGUAUUUCAACCUUAGGUCAUAUAGUCUUCAGGCUGUAGAAGAAGUUUUUGCGCAGAGUAUAGAUUGUGAAAUGUUUCUGAAAGCUCAAGUUUUGUUUCAGUUUGGUCAGAAUUAUAUGGAAGGAGAUGAAAUUAAAGCCAAGAGACUUUUUGUAUUGUGUAAUACCAAAAGCUUUAUCCAAUU